GUAGUUUUUAAUUUUCGUGUACCCGUUGAUAAGAUAUUUUACUUUUAAGUCUGUCGUGAAUAUGGAGUAUUAUUCAAACGCCGCGUAGUGUUUCUAAAUAGACAUUUUCCUGUCAUAAACUAAUUUUUUUUUUUUUUACUUAAGAUAAAAAUACUGAAUAUGAAAUCAUUAUUCUUCAGUAUAACUAUAGCGUAUUUUUCUUAUUUUAAGAGUUCAUAACUAUAAGCAAACCUAUAUAGGGUAUUUUAAAAUAACUUAUCUCAUGUUACAUUAUUACAAACUUUGGUACGGUAGUGUUUAAAAAGAAAAUAUACACCGUUUUAUAGGCAUUAUCAUAAUUUCAUUAAAUGUAACUUACUUUUGUAACUGCAAGUAUUUUAUUCAUCUAGUAAUGGUAUAACACAAACAAAUACAAUUUUUUAAUUUAAUUUUUAACGUUUAAUAAAUAAUGUAUCAAGAGGUAAGCUAAUUUAAAAAAACCCAAUAAAAAUCUGCUUAUAGACACUAAAAGUGAGAAAAAUGUCUUCUAGUUUUACUGAAGUAUUACGAUUUCAUAUUCAACCAUUCGUGUAAGUAAAAACAAAAAAUAGGUUCUGGAAAAUGUGUGUUUAGUAAACUAUAUGACGUUUGAAUAGUGUUCUACAUUCCUACCCACAAAACGGCAAACUUAAAAGUAAAAUAUUUUGUCAACGAGUACACCAAAAUUAAUUUCAACUAAAACCUCAUCUACUUAUGGGAUUUUUAACAUAGCCUACUAUUUUAAAAUCAAAAUAUCGUAUUGAUUUUAUCGCUGAACAUAAGAGUAACAAAAAUUAAAGAAAAUUUCACGGUUUAUAGCUGAUUGUUCUAGAUUCUGAGCGGAUCAAGGAACGUAUUUUACAUUUUGAUCGAGAGUGAUAUAAGGUUCACUAGAGUGUACGUAGAUGGUGAGGGGAACAGAUUCAAAUAUACUGUUAGGUCCACGAUGGGCAAUCCCAAAUAAAUAGGAGGAAAGGUUAGAGAAAAAAUAUUUUAUCUACUAUACGUUUGCUAUACAUAUUAUUUGAUGGUUUAUAUUUUUGAUUAUUGUCUCAUUCAGAAUUACAAUUUUCAAAAUUUUACUAAAUUAUCUAUCAUUUAAAACGUACAUUUAACUAUAACAAAACUAUUGUAUUGUAACUUUUGUUCGAAAAUUUAAGUUUAGAUUCAUUUUACGGGUGAAAUAUGACGUGUUCUGUCACUCCGGUAUAAUUAUAUUAUUACGACGUUAUAUAUUUAUGGUUUGCUAUUAUUUUUAUUAUUAUAUUUUUUUUUUUUUU